GCCGCCUUAGCUCAGCUGGUAGAGCAACACUUUUGUAAAGUGAAGGUCCUGGGUUCGAAUCCCUGAGGCGGCUCUA
rnacentral:tRNA from 4 species